rnacentral:siRNA from 1 species
GUAUUCUAGAGUGCUCAAAGCGCC